ncrna:unclassified sequences DTF2693 RNA
GAUCUUUGACAUAUUGAAAAUAGCGAUGGACAAGACAACAUAGUAAUUAACCCAUCGCUGGUAGAGCUUGAGCAAAAAGAGCCAAGUGCAUAGGCAAGCCGUCAUCUUAACGGAGCUUGUCCACUGCGGGGAGCGAAACCUCCUGCCAGCAC